UACGUAGGGGGCUAGCGUUGUCCGGAAUCAUUGGGCGUAAAGCGCGUGUAGGCGGUCCGGUAAGUCCGCUGUGAAAGUCGGGGGCUCAACCCUCGAAUGCCGGUGGAUACUGUCGGGCUAGAGUGCGGAAGAGGCGAGUGGAAUUCCUGGUGUAGCGGUGAAAUGCGCAGAUAUCAGGAGGAACACCCGUAGCGAAGGCGGCACUCUGGGCCGGAACUGACGCUGAGGAGCGAAAGCGUGGGGAGCGAACAGG
rnacentral:rRNA from 1 species